rnacentral:ncRNA from 1 species
GUUAAAGCGUUGACGGAGACACGUACGCAUGGACAGCCUUUCAGAGAGCCGAUGGUUGGUGGAAAUCGGCAGGACGCAUGCAUACCAAGCACUCCGGAGCAUUGAACCGAAGCGAAAGCCGCAGGCUCAAUCGGCAGAACCCGUUAUCGUUCAGGUCCCGACACGGACCAAUAAGGCCUUGCGUGAGAACGCCGGGUGAAGUAGGGUGGCACCGCGAAGAUAACUUUCGUCCCUUCA